GGCUUCUGUCUCGCAGGAGGCAGGCGUAGUCAGAGUGUCGGGGAGCAGAGUGUGAGUGGCUGUGCCAUUCAGGUGGGGCUCGGCAGAGCAGCGGAUAACUGUGUCCCGAGGUUCCUGCGCGGCCAUUGCAAGGUGGGCUUUCUGCGUGCCUUAUUGCUGCGGUUGGCGUUGUACGGCACAGCAGCAGCACGGCCGUGAGUGCAUACGCGAGAAAAGAAAGCAGCCUCCUUGAGAGCAGCAGAGCAGCAGGCUGUGUGCGCUAUGGCUGCUGAAGUGCAUGGUUUCUCGCCUCCGGAGAUCCUGAGCCCACGCUGCUGGAGAACGUGCUGCGCUACGGCCUCUUCU
rnacentral:lncRNA from 1 species